GUUUUGGGGGUGAAAUUAACAGGCAAGUUGGUGAGCUUUGGUGAAGCAAACAACCUUACAUGAUGUGAGUGGUCCUUGUGCCCAGUUGAAGCCUUCUGUGGCCCUGCAGACUCCUGACUGAACUAACACAGUUGGGGAGAAUAAGCCGUAAAAAGGGGAGCUUUUCUGUCCUUUCACUUUGCACUGAUGCCCCAUCCAUCCUCCCUUUCUGCUUGCCAUGGUAAAUGGUGUCCGACGUAACACAGAUGCACUGUGCACUGGAGAGGCAGAGCAUCCUGCCUUCCACAGCCGUGCACACCAGUCCCUGUGCACAAGUGGCCACCCACCCAGCGAAUCGACGUGGUGUGCUUAUCAAAAUCUGUGUGUCUGUGGGCCAGAGCCAAAUCCAGCAGAGCCCCAUCCUGAAUGCCCAGCGGUGCCCACAGCCAGGAGGAGCAUUCGAUGUGUGAUGACUCAUCUCGUGCAUCAGACGCUCUCUAAAGUUCCCACAGAUUAUACCAUGGCUUAGUGAGUGCGAUUCUAAGACAGUUCCAAAAGACUUUUCAAUCCGUGGGAGUUUCAAAGUGGAUUCUCAGACAAACAUGGGGAGGACUGAGGCAGGCUUGGACACGCACAGAAUCAGACAACGAUGGUCCGGAGUUCAAAUCCCUGCAACCACAUGGUGGCUCACAACCAACUGUAAUGAGAUCUGGCGCCCUCUUCUGGAGUGUCUGAAGACAGAUACAGUGUACUUACAUAUAGUAAAUAAAUAAAUCUUAAAAAAAAAAAAAA
rnacentral:lncRNA from 1 species